UCAGCUGCCAGCACUGCUAGAAUAAAGCAGGCAGGAGCUUCAGCUUUGGACUCUUAGACUUACACCAGUGGUUUGCCAAGGGCUCUCAGGCCUUUGGUCACAGACUGAAGGCUGCACUGUUGGUUUCCCUACUUUUGAGGUUUUGGGACUCAGACAGAUCCACCACUGGCUUCCUUGUUAUUCAGCUUGCAGACGGCCUGUUGUGGGACUUUACCUUGUGAUUGUAUGAGUCAAUUCUCCU
rnacentral:lncRNA from 1 species